rnacentral:pre_miRNA from 1 species
GGGUUCCUGGCACCGUGAUUUGAUGCACAAAGAGAAACAAAAAUCACAUUGCCAGGGAUUUCC